CCAGUCGUCCUCGUCAGAGGGUACACGGCGGUUCGAUCAUCCCCCAUCCAGGGAUUUCGCCAUUUUUUGGCUAUUUGUUCACUUUGCUCGCAAAGGAAACAAACAACCGGCGGAGCAGGAGUGACUGGGACUGGAAAAAAAAAUCAUCCAUAGAAAGUAUAUGUAUGUGUGGCCAUUACUAACGCCGUAUUGUUGGCCGCCCGGGAUUGGGAUUGCGGCGGAAAAUACCGAAAAAAAUUUUGGAGACGGCAAUGGAAAACUAUGGCCAUGUCGUGCCGACCGGUGGCUCCAUAACUCAUCAUACAAUCAGCGCAACAACUUUUGUUUUAUGUCACAACGGCAAUGGCAGGCAACAGUAGCUGGAGCUGGAGCUGGAGCCGGAGCCGGAGCGAUAAUCUGACCUCCAACCAAUCCCAUCCGAACCCCAGGUCGCUUUAUUCAUGAUGGGUAUUUUUUUUUUGCUCGCUCCUUGCUGGCUGCAUUUUCAAGUCAAAAUGGCAUCAACACCGGGCAAAAGUUCGCGGUACACGGCAGGCAUAAUAUUUCAUGGCAGGACAUGCCGGCACCUUCCUUUUACUCCAUUUACUCCUCCGGAGUCCGGACCUGGUGGCAGGGCUUGGGGGUGGCAGGGUGAAGAG